rnacentral:rRNA from 1 species
CAGCAGCCGCGGGAAUACGAAGGGGGCUAGCGUUGUUCGGAUUAACUGGGCGUAAAGGGCGCGUAGGCGGGCUUUUAGGUCAGGGGUGAAAUCCCAAGGCUCAACCUUGGAACUGCCUUUGAUACUGGGAGUCUUGAGUCCGGGAGAGGUGAGUGGAACUGCGAGUGUAGAGGUGAAAUUCGUAGAUAUUCGCAAGAACACCAGUGGCGAAGGCGGCUCACUGGCCCGGUACUGACGCUGAGGCACGAAAGCGUGGGGAGCAAACAGGAUUAGAUACCCCUGUAGUCCCUGUCUCUUAUAC